CACCUUGCGCAAGGUGAUCACGUGAUAUCAACUUUGGAAAUAUGUAAGCCAACUUUAAAUCAAUCAGUUAUCACCUAGGAUCAUAUCAUUAAAUUUGGUUGCUACAAUUAAAUUUUAAAUCAAUCACUCUCUUUUUUUUACGUCUAUAUGAAUUGGCAAUAAUUGACGUGAUUGCCGUAUGAAGUUUUUAAACCGGUUUUGAAAUCAAGUAUGAUCAUAAACCUUUUCAGACCCAUAGUUACAUUCAAACAUUUUUUAAACUGGCUUUGAUAUCGAGUAUAAUUCAGACC
rnacentral:lncRNA from 1 species